rnacentral:tRNA from 1 species
GGAGACGUGGCCGAGCGGCUGAAGGCGGCGCCUUGCUAAGGCGUUAUACCUUAACCGGGUAUCGAGGGUUCGAAUCCCUCCGUCUCCGCCA